UAGGGCCUGCCCUGUGCGUGGUGAAGGGACUUAUAUUGGGGUCCACAUGGUGAGCCAAUAGGGAGCCCGGCCUCCGGAGGAGCCCAAAGGGACUUCCGGGAGGGCACCCACCUAGUUCUUUUGGGGCCCACCGAAGGUUCCUUCUUCCACGGCAUGGGCGGGUUAAUU
rnacentral:other from 1 species